GGGAAUGUGGCUUAGUGGUAGAGUGCUUGCCUAGCAUGCAUGAAGCCUUGAGUUUAAUUCCUCAAUACCA
rnacentral:tRNA from 1 species